rnacentral:snRNA from 1 species
AAAGAAGAUGUGGGAUAAUAUGGAUGAGACUCAUCUGUUGCACUCCAGAUAUGCUGAUCUCUGCAAUUUCCUCAAAUGGAGGAAACUUGACUUCCUAAUUUGUGGUAGUGAGGGGAUUGUAUGUGUGUUUUAU